AUGGUAGUUGAUGCCCUGGCGUCCAUCCUUGAUAAGGCCAAGGAUGCUGGCCAUAUUCAUGGCAUUGUUCCUCACCUCGUCGGAGGGGGAGGGGUCUCCCUCCUCCAAUAUGCGGACGAUACCAUUAUUAUGGUGGAGGGCUCCGCCCUUGACAUCGCUAACCUCAAGUUCCUCCUCCUGUGCUUCCAACAGAUGUCAGGCCUAACCAUUAACUUCGAUAAGAGCGAAGUGAUGGUGCUCGGGUAGCACCCUGAGGAAGCACAAUCCAUAGCGGACCGCCUUAAUUGUAGGUUGGGUUCUUUCCCAACGACAUACUUGGGGAUCCCCAUUAGUGACUCAUGCCUCAUCGGGGCGGACCUCCGCCCCACGGUGACCCGUAUGCAACACCGUGUUGAACCCUGGAAAGGGCGUUGGCUGUCAAAGGCUGCUUAGGUGAUCCUCAUCAACUCUUCGCUCGCUAGCCUUCUAUGGUUCCUCAUGAGCUUCUAUAGCCUCCAUGAGACCCUCCAUCAGGAGAUCGCCAAGUACCAAUCCAGAUUCUUCUGGGCUGGCGAGGGGGAUAAG
rnacentral:rRNA from 1 species